rnacentral:rRNA from 1 species
AACGUAGGUACCGAGCGUUAUCCGGAUUUACUGGGCGUAAAGCGUGUGCAGGCGGUCGUGCAAGUCGGGCAUGAAAGCCCCUGGCUCAACUGGGGGAAGCUGUCUGAUACUGCGCGACUUGAGGGCUCGAGAGGGCGAUGGAAUUCCGCAUGUAGUGGUGAAAUGCGUAGAGAUGCGGAGGAACACCAGUGGCGAAAGCGGUCGCCUGGCGAGCCCCUGACGCUCAGACACGAAAGCCUAGGGGAGCGAACGGG